rnacentral:rRNA from 1 species
AACGAACGCUGGCGGUAUGCUUAACACAUGCAAGUCGAACGAACAAAAUUGGGGCUUGCUCCAAUUUUAGUGAGUGGCAAACGGGUGAGUAACACGUGGGAAUCUACCUAUCAGUACGGAAUAACAUUUGGAAACAGAUGCUAAUACCGUAUAUUCUCCACGGAGGAAAGAUUUAUCGCUGAUAGAUGAGCCCGCGUAAGGUUAGGUAGUUGGUAGGGUAAUGGCCUACCAAGCCGACGAUCUUUAGCUGGUCUGAGAGGAUGAUCAGCCACACUGGGACUGAGACACGGCCCAGAGUCCUACGGGAGGCAGCAGUGGAGAAUAUUGGACAAUGGGCGAAAGCCUGAUCCAGCAAUACCGCGUGAAUGAUGAAGGCCUUAGGGUUGUAAAGUUCUUUUAGUUGGAAAGAUAAUGACGGUACCAACAGAAAAAGCCCCGGCUAACUCCGUGCCAGCCGCCGCGGUAA